ACGUAGGGAGCAAGCGUUAUCCGGAAUUAUUGGGUGUAAAGCGUGUGUAGGCGGGAAAUUAAGUCUAAGGUCUAAGCCCGGAGCUCAACUCCGGUUCGCCUUAGAAACUGAUUUUCUUGAGUGUGGUAGAGGCAAACGGAAUUUCUAGUGUAGCGGUAAAAUGCGUAGAUAUUAGAAGGAACACCAGUGGCGAAGGCGGUUUGCUGGGCCACUACUGACGCUGAGACACGAAAGCGUGGGGAGCAAAUAG
rnacentral:rRNA from 1 species